GAAGCUGACCAGACAGUCGCCGCUUCGUCGUCGUCCCGAAAGGGAGACGGGCGGAGGGGAGGAAAGUCCGGGCUCCAUAGGGCAGGGUGCCAGGUAACGCCUGGGGGGCGCAAGCCCACGACCAGUGCAACAGAGAGCAAACCGCCGAUGGCCCGCAAGGGAUCAGGUAAGGGUGAAAGGGUGCGGUAAGAGCGCACCGCGCGGCUGGCAACAGUCCGUGGCACGGUAAACUCCACCCGGAGCAAGGCCAAAUAGGGGUUCACAUGGUACGGCCCGUACUGAACCCGGGUAGGCUGCUUGAGCCAGUGAGCGAUUGCUGGCCUAGAGGAAUGACUGUCCACGACAGAACCCGGCUUAUCGGUCAGCUUCACCU
rnacentral:RNase_P_RNA from 1 species